CUCUGUCCCAAGCUUCCAGCCGGGCUCAGGCUGGCUGUGCUCAGCAUUAAGCUCUGCCCAAGUGCUGCUCGGUUUUCCAGACCCAGCCCAGUGAAGUUCAGCAGUGAGAUCCUUGGAAGUGUUGGCAUCUCGCAGUGUUUCUGGUGUUUCUCACCCUCUGUUUCUCUCAGGGUGAUGUGCCAUGGCUGAUCCUCUCUCCAAGUCCGACCUCGUUGCAGCCUUGGCUCUCUUUGCUGGUGACCCAACCUACUUUCAGCUGGAUCAUGGAACCUUUGGACAGACAGUGCCGUGUAAACCUAAAACAGGUAUGGAAACAAAACCAAUAUUCUUCAUUUCUUGGAUCUUUGGAUUGCUAUUUAAUUUUAUUUUUCCUUAUUUUGCCUGAAAAUUAAUGAAUUAUUAUUUUUUAGCAGAAGCAUUGUUCUAUUCUGUUACCCUGGCACAAUUCUCAUCUGUUUCUCCAAUAUAAAUGAAAUAUUCAGGAAUAUUUUCAUAAAUGCUGUCAGGGUGGAAAUUCAAGGCUGGUGAAUUUACCUGUGUAGGUCUAAAAACAAUUUCCUUUUUUUGGGGUUUUUUGCAGUAAAAAUUCACCAAAAAUUCCCAGUUGCAGAAAAACAGAUGGCUCAAAUUCAGAAUUACAUUUUCUGCACCACCCUCUAAUUUGUGGGAAGAAGCACAAAUUCCCAUAUAUAAAUCAUAUAAAUAAUGAUAAAAUCAUAUAAAUAAUGAGAAUGAGAAACAGCUGUGGAAAGGGAAUUUUUUCUGUGUUUUUUUGUGGGGUUUUUUUGUGUAUUUUUUGUGGGUGUUUUUUUUGGUGUGUGGGAGAUUUUUGUGUGGUUUUUGGUGUCUUUUCUUUCUUGUAAAUUUUUGCGUAAUUUUUUUUCCGUUAUUUUUUGCGUAAUUUUUUUUGUGUGAUUUUUCUGUGUAUUUUUUGUGGGUUUUUCCCUGCUUUUCUCCAUAUAUUUUCCCUGCCAUGCCUUUUUCCUGCCUUUUUCUCAUCUUUUCCCCAUUUUCUCCCCAUCUCCUUCCCAUCUUUUCCUGGUCUCUUCCCUGCCUUUUUCCCUCUCGUUUUCCCCAUUUUUCCCUGUUUUUUUCCCCCUCUCUUGUAUUUGCCCUGUCUUUUUCCCUUUUCCCUGUUUUUUCCCAUCUUUUUCCUGUUGUUUCUCC
rnacentral:lncRNA from 1 species